ACUCAAAUGAAUAGACGGGGACCCGCACAAGCAGCGGAGCAUGUGGUUUAAUUCGAAGCAACGCGAAGAACCUUACCAGGCCUUGACAUCCUCUGACAAUCCUAGAGAUAGGACGUUUCCUUCGGGAACAGAGAGACAGGUGGUGCAUGGUUGUCGUCAGCUCGUGUCGUGAGAUGUUGGGUUAAGUCCCGCAACGAGCGCAACCCUUGCCUUUAGUUGCCAGCAUUGAGUUGGGCACUCUAAAGGGACUGCCGUAGACAAUACGGAGGAAGGUGGGGACGACGUCAAAUCAUCAUGCCCCUUAUGGCCUGGGCUACACACGUGCUACAAUGGGUUGGGACAAAGGGAAGCGAAGCCGCGAGGUGAAGCCAAUCCCAUAAAACAACCCCCAGUUCGGAUUGCAGGCUGAAACCCGCCUGCAUGAAGUUGGAGUUGCUAGUAAUCGCAGAUCAGAAUGCUGCGGUGAAUGCGUUCCCGGGUCUUGCACACACCGCCCGU
rnacentral:rRNA from 1 species